CGUGAUGACAGCCAAGUUAAUAUCACUUCCGCAGACUUUCUAGCUUCAUCAGUCCACACCACAUUGUUGCCUGGGAGAGACACACUGCAGUAAAGACACACAAGCCCACUCACACACAGCCCUGCUUUCCGAAGACCUUCCCUGCUGUGUGAUAGGAUCACAGCACAAGGGUUGCUUGACUAUGGGACCUCUGAGUAAUUCAUCACUCAAGGACUAAACGUGGACUAGAUGAACUCCUCUCAGAAAAACAAGCUGAACGUGCUGGCUCACAUUACCUCACCGUCAGCAGGCAAGAAGUGAUGAGAAGAAAUGAGCAUGGAAGUGGACUUCGGUUUGGGAUGUUCGUGGAUUGACAGCUGUGGAAGGAAAGAGGAAACACAGAAUGAGUCAAAGGAGAAACCACCAUGUGGUGUGAGAAUCAGAACUCAGCCAAUCCCCCCAGGAAGCUCUGGGACUGAGAUGCUUCAUCCUUCCACCCCAGCCUCAGCCAGUCUUGGUCAAAGGACCGCCCACAAAAAGCUCUGAUGUUGGCUCUGACUACAGCCGAGUGUCAAGAGGCAAGAUGACUUCCUUCCUUUCAGAGAGACCUCAGCGGUAUAUCUUCAUACUAUUCAAAUCCCUCCAUCCUCCUCACUCACUCAUUCUGCAAACAUCAAUGUGUGUGUUCCAUGUUCCAGGCAUUGUUUCAAGUUCUAGGAAUGUAACAUGAUUAUGGCAAAGUCCUCUAUCUCCAGGAAUAAAAAGUCCCUGAAGGAAGACUACAAUAAACAAACACACUCAUGUCUCGUCCGCCAUGAAACAAUACGUGUCACCAAGAAUAGUAUUUUUGGACUAUGAGGAGGAGAUGGUAUUUUAUCGGACCUCUGAAGAAAUUAAGGGAGAAGAUUCGAAACCAUGUUUGUGUAUGGACAAACCACACACUAGUGGGUAGGACCAGCAACGAGAAGGACCACCCCCACCUCCAUGCAGCAGGCCAAUAGACACCGAUCAUGUACUUGAGGGUUGAGUUAUGAGUACCCUUCUUCACAGACAAAAAUUCAGAAUCUUGGGGUUGUUCUUUUCUUUAUAGUUUCCUAAAUUUCUGUACAAAUGUUACUCUUAUUCUGACAAGGGGUGCUUCAUUAUGGAUUUGAUGAUUCCACCUAUUUAUAUACUCUUCCACAGACUUAUUUGGCUGUUUACAAGCAAGGGACAAGAAAAGUCUCUGUAACCAAUGAUUGUAAUUUUGCUCCACAGUUGAAAUCUCCCAGAUGUUUACUCUGUUUCCUGCCAUCCUGAGAGACUGUAAAUGCAUUUGCUUGCUGAAUUAAUGUGUUACAUCUCAUUUUCCUUUCCACGAGAGUCUCUGUACUUCAGAUUUUGUCUCUUUUGAAUCGUUAACUCCCCUAUGGUGUUAGGACGGGUUACUUGACACUGCUGUCACAUCUAUCUGGGUGCCAAGUGUGACCUUCCAUCUGAAACAACAGCAGAACUUCUGUGGAGAGAACCAGGCCCAAAUAGGUAGUGCCAUGCAUGCUAACCAAGGGGAAAGAUGAGUCAUUCUUCCUAAAAUUCUUUAGAAGAACCAGCUGGUUUUAUUGUAAUUUUCCCCAUAAACAUAUGUAAGCCAUUAUGCAACAGAAAAAAAAGAGAGAGACAAAUAAGAUCAAAGUUCAAAUCUUCAACUGGUAUCAAUCAAGAGAAACAGGACAGAAGAUGGGGUGAGACCGAGGAAUCUCGGGGCCCCGAGGGAGCUAAUGAACUGAACUGUAGGCGAAUACCUACUCCCCCCCAAAUAACUGCUACAAAACAAAGAGCAAAUGCAGUUUUGGAACUUCCCUCCCAGUUUAAGUUUCUUAUUCAUUCUUGGUUUAUCCUCACUGUUCCCAUGAGAACGGAUCGGGGAGCAAUGGUGGCUUCUUUGUUUGCUUUGCUUGGGGCCUUAGAGUUUACACCUUUGCCAAAUAAAAAGCUUCACACCACUUCUAUUUAGCCAGAGAUGGGGGAAAUAGUGAGAAAUGAAGAGAUUUGUUGUGCAGCAUUGAAUGGAAAUGAAAAAUGAACACUAAGCACCAGAAAGACUAAUUUCUUAGAAGCCACACACAUCUUCUCUCUGCAAAUAGGUGUUUGAUGUGCUGAGAGACUUUGUUGUAUCAUCUGCCUUUCAUAAAGGAUAGGAAAUGAAGCUUCCUUUGGUGACAAAACAGACAUUGUCUAAUCCAUCCAUGCAGGGUCCUAAAGAGGCUAGAGAAUAGUCCGGAGCCUGUAGAGGCAGAAAAUCCUUCAACAAACGAUCUUGUAAGUAGCCCUCAGCUGCCCAAAGACACAUAUCUUUGUUCUUUCACCAGGAAGAAUGUAGGCUUGGAAUAAUCAUCAUGUACCCAGCUAGGAAAUCAGUGACUACUGCAAAAAGCAUAAUUAAGUCCCCAAAUUAACCAGAAGCUCAAAGCAUGUAACCAAGACAACAGUAAAAAGGGAUCUUAUAAAACCUAAGUUUAUAUUUCUUCUCUUUUCCAUGUUUUCUCUUUCUUUUUAACCUUGUGCUUUGUACUGGCUAGUUUUAUGACACAAGCUAUAAUCAUCAGAGAGGAGAGAUUCUUAUUUGAGAAAAUGCCUCUAUAUGGUCUGACCGUAAGGAACUUUAAAUUAGUGGCCAAUGGAAGAGGAUCCAGCUCAUUGUUGGUGAUGUCAAACUUGGGCUGGUGGUCCUGGGUUCUAUGAGAAAACAGGAUGAGCGACAUGAGGAGCGAGCCAGUAAGCAGCAGUCUUCCAUGGCCUCUGCAUCAGCUCCUGCCUUCAGGUUCCUGCCCUGUGUGAGUUCCUGCCCUCAGUACUUUUAAAUGUUGUAUGAAACCAUGAGUGAAAUAAACCCUUUCCUCCCCAA